rnacentral:rRNA from 1 species
AUUGAACGCUGGCGGCAGGCCUAACACAUGCAAGUCGAACGGGUCCUUCGGGACUAGUGGCGGACGGGUGAGUAACGCGUGGGAACGUGCCCUUUGCUUCGGAAUAGCCCCGGGAAACUGGGAGUAAUACCGGAUACGCCCGAGAGGGGAAAGAUUUAUCGGCAAAGGAUCGGCCCGCGUUGGAUUAGGUAGUUGGUGAGGUAAUGGCUCACCAAGCCGAUGAUCCAUAGCUGGUUUGAGAGGAUGAUCAGCCACACUGGGACUGAGACACGGCCCAGACACCUACGGGAGGCAGCAGUGGGGAAUCUUAGGCAAUGGGGGAAACCCUGAUCUAGCCAUGCCGCGUGAUCGAUGAAGGCCUUAGGGUUGUAAAGAUCUUUCAGAUGGGAAGAUAAUGACGGUACCAUCAGAAGAAGCCCCGGCUAACUCCGUGCCAGCAGCCGCCGUAAAAC